rnacentral:rRNA from 1 species
AUUGAACGCUGGCGGCAGGCCUAACACAUGCAAGUCGAACGAGUGGCGGACGGGUGAGUAAUGUCUGGGAAACUGCCCGAUGGAGGGGGAUAACUACUGGAAACGGUAGAUAAUACCGCAUACCAUCGGAUGUGCCCAGAUGGGAUUAGCUAGUAGGUGGGGUCAUGACUCACCUAGGCGAAGAUCCCUAGCUGGUCUGAGAGGAUGACCAGCCACACUGGAACUGAGACACGGGCCAGAAUCCUACGGGAGGCAGCAGUGGGGAAUAUUGGACAAUGGGCGCAAGACUGAUGCAGCGAGGCCGCGUGUAUGAAGAAGGCCUUCGGGUGGUAAAGUACUUUCAGCGAGGAGGCGUUACUCACAGAAGAAGCACCGGCUAACUCCGUGCCAGCAGCCGCGGUAAUUC